GAUGAACGCUAGCUACAGGCUUAACACAUGCAAGUCGAGGGGAAACGAUGAGAGAGCUUGCUCUCUUAGUCGUCGACCGGCGCACGGGUGAGUAACGCGUAUCCAACCUGCCUCUGACCAAGGGAUAACCCGUCGAAAGUCGGACUAAUACCUUAUGCAGUCGUCGGAAGUCAUCUGAUGACGACGAAAGAUUUCAUCGGUGAGAGAUGGGGAUGCGUCUGAUUAGCUUGUUGGCGGGGUAACGGCCCACCAAGGCGACGAUCAGUAGGGGUUCUGAGAGGAAGGUCCCCCAGAUUGGAACUGUGACACGGUCCAAACUCCUACGGGAGGCAGCAGUGAGGAAUAUUGGUCAAUGGGCGUAAGCCUGAACCAGCCAAGUAGCGUGCAGGAUGACGGCACUAUGGGUUGUAAACUGCUUUUAUGCGGGGAUAAAGUGAGGGACGUGUCCUUCAUUGCAGGUACCGCAUGAAUAAGGACCGGCUAAUUCCGUG
rnacentral:rRNA from 1 species